UGGGGAAUUUUGGACAAUGGGGGAAACCCUGAUCCAGCCAUCCCGCGUGUGCGAUGAAGGCCUUCGGGUUGUAAAGCACUUUUGGCAGGAAAGAAACGUCAUGGGUUAAUACCCCGUGAAACUGACGGUACCUGCAGAAUAAGCACCGGCUAACUACGUGCCAGCAGCCGCGGUAAUACGUAGGGUGCAAGCGUUAAUCGGAAUUACUGGGCGUAAAGCGUGCGCAGGCGGUUCGGAGAGAAAGAUGUGAAAUCCCAGAGCUCAACUUUGGAACUGCAUUUUUAACUACCGGGCUAGAGUGUGUCAGAGGGAGGUGGAAUUCCGCGUGUAACAGUGAAAUGCGUAGAUAUGCGGAGGAACACCGAUGGCGAAGGCAGCCUCCUGGGAUAACACUGACGCUCAUGCACGAAAGCGUGGGGAGCAAACAGGA
rnacentral:rRNA from 1 species